CCUAGGCGGCUGCAGUGGGGAAUAUUGCACAAUGGGCGAAAGCCUGAUGCAGCGACGCCGCGUGAGGGAUGACGGCCUUCGGGUUGUAAACCUCUUUCGCCAGGGACGAAGCGCAAGUGACGGUACCUGGAUAAGAAGCACCGGCUAACUACGUGCCAGCAGCCGCGGUAAUACGUAGGGUGCGAGCGUUGUCCGGAUUUAUUGGGCGUAAAGAGCUCGUAGGCGGUUUGUCGCGUCGGCCGUGAAAUCUCCACGCUUAACGUGGAGCGUGCGGUCGAUACGGGCAGACUUGAGUUCGGUAGGGGAGACUGGAAUUCCUGGUGUAGCGGUGAAAUGCGCAGAUAUCAGGAGGAACACCGGUGGCGAAGGCGGGUCUCUGGGCCGAUACUGACGCUGAGGAGCGAAAGCGUGGGGAGCGAACA
rnacentral:rRNA from 1 species